GACGAACGCUGGCGGCGCGCCUAACACAUGCAAGUCGAACGGAGCUGAGAGAAGCUUGCUUUUCUUAGCUUAGUGGCGAACGGGUGAGUAACGCGUGAGUAACCUGCCCUGGAUUGGGGGACAACAGUUGGAAACGACUGCUAAUACCGCAUAAGCCCACGAUCCGGCGUCGGAUUGAGGGAAUAGGAUUUAUUCGCUUAAGGAUGGACUCGCGUCCAAUUACAUAGUUGGUGGGGUAAGGGCCCACAAAGGCGACGAUUGGUAGCCGGACUGGGAGGUUGAACGGCCACACUGGGACUGAGCCACGGCCCAGACUCCUACGGGAGGCAGCAGUGGGGGAUAUUGCACAAUGGGGGAAAUCCUGAUGCAGCGACGCCGCGUGGAGGAAGAAGGUUUUCGGAUUGUAAACUCCUGUCGUUAGGGACGAUAAUGACGGUACCUAAAAAGAAAGCACCGGCUAACUACGUG
rnacentral:rRNA from 1 species